CUUUGUUUUGUACCAAAGGUAGUGUCUUUGCAGGAAAUCUGUAUUUGUUCUCCCAACCUCCAAAUGGAGGGAGCAGAUGAAAUGAAGGCUCCCAAGAUAUGGGGAGGGUCACUUGCUAGAGGGUGGGCGGAACCAAUGAGAAGUCUGAUUUGCUGUGGUUCAAUGACUUCUUAAAACUCUUUGCAAGGCUGACCUAUUUCUAAUUCCUUGAGCCUAUAGUCUGAAAGGUCAUUAAUCUGGGCUCGGCUCAUGAUGCGGAGGCUUAAGACUUCCAUUUCUUAAAUGCCAAAGGUGUGUCAGAUUGCCUUUCAAAAUGUUGGUAUCUCUAUUCAGGUGUGCAGUGGUUAGUAGCAAGCAGUUUCUUUUCUCAUGGAAACAUUCACCUCACCAAGGAACCACCUGUGUUGUUUUUUGGGCCCUUUGGAUCUUCGCCACGGAUUAAAGAGACAAACCAAUCUCCUAUGCAUGCUUUCUCUUUGUCAAGUCCAGGGACAAACAGGAAGAUGGUCGAGGUGGCACAUCCCUGCUUCUUCCUGGAGCACACUCAAUGAGGUCCAUUAUUCUUCUUCAGCAACAAGCCAUUUCAGAACCCUUGAGGAACCAAAUACUGAGGUGUACCCAAGCAGCUCCAGGUGACCACCUGCAUCAUUAUAAAGAUACCACUGACUGUGGCGCCGGAAACAGAACAUUCCAUUCUCCGCGUACAGGUAAUCUUGUGUUCCUCCUUGCAUUAGCAAAUCCUCUAACACCUUUUUGAAUUCAACA
rnacentral:lncRNA from 12 species